CUUGGUUGAUCCUACCAGUAGUGAUGUGUUUGUCUCAAAGAUUAAGCCAUGCAUGUGUAAGUAUGAAACUAUGAAUGGCUUAUUAAAUUAGUUAUAGGUUGUUUGAUGGUAUCUACUACUCAGAUAUUUGUAGUAAUUCUUAAGUUAAUACGUGUAACAAACCCUAAUUUUUGGAAAGGAUGCAUUUAUUAGAUAAAAGGUCGACAUGGGCUUUGCUUAUUGCUCUGAUGAUUCAUGAUAACUCAAUAGAUCAUGUGGCCUUUGCGUCAGUGAUGCACCAUUCAAAUUUCUACCUUAUUAACUUUUAAUGGUAGGAUAGUGGCCUACUAUAGUGGUGACAAAUGAUAGAGAAUUAUGGUUCGAUUCUAGAAAAAGAGCCUGAGAAAUGGCUACCACAUCCAAGGAAUGUAGUCGGCAUGCAAAUUACCCAAUCCUGACAUAAGGAGGUAGUGACAAUAACUAACAAUAUUAGGUCUAUGAGUCUGGUAAUUAGAAUGAGUACAAUCUAAAUCCCUUAAUGAAGAUCCAUUGAAGGGCAAGUCUAGUACCAACAGCCAUGAUAAUUCUAGCUCCAAUAGUAUAUAUUUAAGUUGUUACAGUUAAAAAACUUGUAGUUGGAACUAUAGUUGGGUCUUCUAGUCUGUCUCAUGAUGAGCAUAAGCCUAUUCAUCCCUACUAUUGGUGAUGCACUCCUAGACCUAACUGGUCAAGUCAUUCUUUGACACCAUUACUUUGAAGAAAUUAGAGUGCUCAAAGUAGGCCUACACUUGUAUAAAUUAGCAUGGGAUAAUAUUAAAGGAUUUCAAUCCUAUUGUGUUAGCCUUCAAGAUUCGGAGUAAUGAUUAAUAGGGACAAUCAGAGGCAUUCAUAUUUCAUUGUCAGAUGUGAAAUUCUUGGAUUUAUAAAGAUGAGCAAUUGUGAAAGCAUUUGCCAAUGAUGUUUUCAUUAAUCAAGAAUGAAAGUUGAGGGCUCAAAGAAAUCAAAUAUUGUCUUAGUCUCAACCAUAAAUGAUACCGAGCAAGGAUCAGUGAAUGUUACUUUUAAGACUUAGCCGACACCUUACGAGAAGUCAAAGUCUUUAGGUUCUACGAGAGUAUGGUUGUAAAACUUAAAGGAAUUGACAAAAAGGCACCACUAAGAGUGGAGCCUACGACUUAAUUUGACUAAACAUGAAAAAACUUACCAAUCUAAACAUUGUAAGGAUUGACAAACUGAAAGCUCUUUCUUAAUUUUAUGGGUGGUGGUGCAUGGUCAUUUAGUUGGUGAAGCGAUUUGUUUGGUUAAUUUCAUUAAACGAACAAGACCUUAGCCUACUAACUAGCUAUGUGGAGGUGAUCUUUCAUGGCUAGCUUCUUAGAAGGACUAUGGUUGCUUAGGCCAAGGAAGUUUAAGGUAAUAAUAGGUUUACUAUUCCUUUAGAUGUUCUAAGCCAUAUGCUCACUAUACUAAUGUAAUCAACGAGUGUAUAGCCUUGGCCAACAAGCCUAGAUAAUCUUUGAAAUUUCAUCAUGAUGGGGAUAGAUCAUUGUAAUUGUUAGUCUUCAAUGAGGAAUUCCUAGUAAGCGUGAGUCAUAAGCUGGCAUUGACUAUGUCCUACCCUUUAUACUCACCACCCAUCGCUCUUACCAAUUGAAUGGUCAGAUGAAGUAUUCAGAUCGUUGCAACUUAAACAAUUUAUUGCCUAUAAUGCCAAGAGAAGCCCACUAAAUCUUACCAUUUAGAGGAAGGAAAAGUCAUAACAAGGUUUUCAUAGGUGAACCAUGGAAGG
rnacentral:rRNA from 1 species